rnacentral:pre_miRNA from 1 species
UUGGGUGAAAUCAAUGUAGGACCUGCACUUUGAAAACGGAACCCACAUAAAGUGGUGGGACAUACAUUAAUUUUCACCCAA